rnacentral:lncRNA from 1 species
AACCGCCCUUGAACCCCAUCUCCUCUCUAAUUCUCUCUAAUACUAAAACCUAACCUUAUCAGCCUCCCUCCGGUUACCACUCAGAACCGCCUGAAUCCAUGGGUUCCGAAGUCAUUGAAGGCCAAUACCUACCUCCUAUGGCUCAUGCAUGCCCGUCGUUUGAAGGAUCGAGCCUGGACCUCGAGGGUCUUCACUCAGACCUUCAUCUGUUUGAAGAUUCCAGCCAUCUCCGGCCUUUUCUCCGGUGGAUCUUGGUCUUUUGAACCUGAUUGUGAUAUCACCUGGCUUAGAUCGUGACUUUUCCAGGCUUUCUCGCUUCUAGGGUUCUUCUGAAACCCUAGACCUUCGAGGUUCUUCUGAUUUUCUCUAGAUCUGUUAUAGUUCUGUGUUUAUUUUAAGGUUUCAAACAAUUUCCCAAAGUUUCUUUCAAAAGUUUGCUUUCAAACCUUUCAUCUUCUCUGACUUAGGGUUUCUCUGAUUUUACAUACUCUACUUCUUAUGUGUUUUCUUCUAAUGUGGUUUCUUCUACCUUGUUAUUCCUGCCUGAUUUACUUUCUUUUGUCUCUACACUCGAUUAAUGGUAAGUUCCUAGAAUUUGGGGGUUUCACUCGAGUUUUGAGGUCGCUUAGUACAUGAUUUGCUUGCGGCUUAUCUCUGAACGUGUUUGAUUUCAAAACCCUAUAUGUGGACCUAUUUGAGCUCCUGAAGUUGUUUUCAUCUACUAUUCUCGUUCUUCAUGUGAUUCUGACUUCUCACUAAACCCUGCAAGACCUUUUUUUUACUUGACCUUUUGCAUGCUAUCUGAUAUUCCCUCUUCUCUGUAGUCCACUACUCGCUUAUUUUGAUUGUAUGACACUUUUCUUUGUUUGAAAUCCAGCCCCGCAUGUUCAAUGUUUAUACAUUCUUUAUAUGAUGAAUUUAUCUCUAGAAUGACUUUUAAUUUUGGACUGAUUUCGGAUUUCCUUGUGUAAGCAUGAUUGGUUCUUUCAUUAUUUAAUUUGAAAACUCUCUUUAACCUUUCAAUUCCCCUAGUUCUGACUUGGUUUAUUAGUGACUUUUGAAAAACUGAUUCCUUGAUUUACUAUGUACUAAUUGAUUUACUUUGUUCUUACCUUAUUUACUUAACCGUGUGUUUCAUAUUUUCCUUCCCCUAAUUAACACCCCUAUGUAUUUACCCCUUAUUUAUAUGAAAUGCACAAUAUGUUUACUUGAUCUCUUUCCUUAAAAUAACUUCUGCCCUUUACCGUUCAAAUUUGAACUCCUUAAUUAAAGGAAUUUUUGCUACUGACUGAUUCUAUUUUAUACAUGAUUAUUUUCUUGCCUUAUUCUUUGUCUGAUUUCAAAAUAUAAAUACCUGCUCCUUUCUUAACACAAACACAAUCAAUACUCGAGUUUUUCUGAACUCACACUCACAUACAAAAAUAUUUCUUUUGUUGUUUGUACUGUAGCCUGUUACAAGAUUUCUGCUUUCUUUUCUUUCUGAAACUGGUAUGUUCUAGUUCUAAUUCCAUCCCCAACUCCAAUUUGCUUACUUACCAGUUCUUAUGUCCAUGUUUACUUUAAUAUCUGAAGUAUUUAAUCUUUGUGCAAUAUGCUUAUAUCAUGCUAACUUAUUGUAAUGGAUCAUUUUCCUAUAUCCCCCAUGUGUUUUGAGCUAUGGUUCAAAAACAUGGCAAUAUAUCUGAAGUUAUUGUCCAUGAAUAUGAAUUGGACCCUUUAGGUCCUAAGCUCUUUCAAUUUCCCAUCCCCCAUUCUCUUACUAUGUGUGCUGAGUUAAAGCUUUGGCAUGACAGUAUUCUAAUUACUGCCCAAGCCAUGGAUCGACCUUCAAUAGGUCCGUACUCUCUAAUGUUUGGCUAACAGGUUUGGUCAAGGGUGUGCUAGUACUUCAUGUUGUUGGGCAUGACCACCAGCCUACCUUGAAAUCCUCUAGUUCCCUCUAUUGCACUUACACUUUUUCCUAGAAUCUAAGUUUUGCCCCCUCUUGGGAGCCUUUCCUUGGGCCCAUGAGCUCCAUCUGAACUUGGAUGCUUGAGGGCUGGUCCUUUCACACUACACUUUAAUUCAAUUCUUUGAUGAUAUCUGGGUGUAAGCAUUGCCUGUGGUCCUUGAGAUCCCUUGGAACUUUGAUGCACUCCAAGUAAGCGAGAAGCCUUGGAAAUCUUGAUCCCGGAAGUUUGGUUCAUUUCAUGUUGUUAGAUAUUAAGUAUGAAUUAGGUUGUUUGGAUGUAGCUGUAAUUUCUGAUGUAAUUUAUUUCAGUUUGAUUCACUUGGUCUGUAAUAAUUUGUAAAACUUAUGUGGCUUUUGUAAAGAAAGGGAGGGGGAUUUAUUGUAUGCAUAAGGGUAGAUAUCCUGCCUAUAUGGUUUGCUUCUGAAUUUUUGCACUUUCACAUAUAGAAACCAUGUAUAUAGGAAUUCUGCAUAUCGUAUAGAAACCAUAUAUUCUGCAUAUCAUAUAGAAAUCAUGUUUAUAAGCUUAUGCAUAUGCAUAUAGAAAUCAUGCCUAUAAGUUUUUCUGCACUUCUGCAUAUAGAGAUUCUGCUUAUAAGUUCUUCUGCACUUCUGCAUAUAGAGAUUCUGCCUAUAACUUUAUGCAUCUGCAUAUAGAGAUCUUGCCUAUAAGCUUCUUCAUUUUUGCAUCUACGUGUGUCAUUAGGCGAACAGUCUAUUGGUUUAACAAUAGCAACAAGCUGCAUUAUAGAUACCAUGCUCGUAGAAUUUCUUCACUCUUGCUAACAUGUGUAAAAGGU